GUAAAAUGUGAAAAUUUGACCUACUUUUUCUUCUAGUUUCACUUCCUGUUUGGCGGAAGUGUUUAUGAAAGUCCAUAGUCGCAGAUGACAACAUUCUGUCAACGUCGGGGGGAAAGGUUGUCCAGAUGAUGGAGGUGCUGCCCUGAGACCCCACCAUGCCACCCAUUGUGGUUGUGCCUGACCUUGACAUUGUGUCAGAGGUCAGUGCAGAUGAACGUGUGGAAAUUGACUUUCUGAUGCCCAACGGAAUCUUCAUUCCUCUGAAAGUGAACUUUUACGACUCGCUUGACAUAGUGAAAAGGAGACUAUGGAAAGAAGCAGAGGGCUACCCCCUUUUCACGGCCGUAGGCCAGCAUCAAUCGUAUUCCUUUAUCUUCAUUAACAGUAUGGGAC